AUUGAACGCUGGCGGCAGGCCUAACACAUGCAAGUCGAACGAGCGGCGGACGGGUGCGUAAUGUCUGGGAAACUGCCUGAUGGAGGGGGAUAACUACUGGAAACGGUAGCUAAUACCGCAUACCAUCAGAUGUGCCCAGAUGGGAUUAGAUAGUCUGUGGGGUAACGGCUCACCUAGGCGACGCUCCCUAGCUGGACUGAGAGGAUGAGCAGCGACACUGGAACUGAGACACGGUCUAGACUCCGACGGGAGGCAGCAGUGGGGAAUAUUGCACAAUGGGCGAAAGCCUGAUGCAGCCAGGCCGCGUGUGUGAAGAAGGCCUUCGGGUUGUAAAGCACUUUCAGCGGGGAGGCGUUACCCGCAGAAGAAGCACCGGCUAACUCCGUGCCAGCAGCCGCGGUAAUUC
rnacentral:rRNA from 1 species